rnacentral:rRNA from 1 species
AUUGAACGCUGGCGGCAGGCCUAACACAUGCAAGUCGAACGAGUGGCGGACGGGUGAGUAAUGUCUGGGAAACUGCCUGAUGGCUGGGGAUAACUACUGGAAACGGUAGCUAAUACCGCAUACCAUCGGAUGUUCCCAGAUGGGAUUAGCUAGUGGGUGGGGUAACGGCUCACCUAGCCGACGAUCCCUAGCUGGUCUGAGAGGAUGACCAGCCACACUGGAACGGAGACACGGUCAAGAUUCCUCCGGGAGGCAGCAGAGGGGAAUAUUGCACAAUGGGCGCAAGCCUGAUGCAGCAAUGCCGCGUGUGUGAAGAGGGCCUUCGGGUUGUAAAGCACUUUGAGCGGGGAGGCGUUACCCGCAGAAGAAGCACCGGCUAACUCCGUGCCAGCAGCCGCGGUAAUAC